ensembl:lncRNA
AUGAUAAAGCUUGGCUUAUUGAAUAUCAGGUCCCUUUCUACGAAAGCACUUUUUGUAAAUAAUAUGAUCACUGAUCAUAAUCUAGAUGCACUCUGUUUGACAGAAACCUGGCUAAAACCUGAUGAUUACAUUAUUUUAAAUGAGUCUACACCCCAAGAUUACUGUUAUAAACAUGAGCCACGUCCAAAAGGUAAAGGGGGAGGUGUUGCUUCAAUUUAUAACAAUGUUUUCAGGAUUUCUCAGAGGGCAGGCUUCAAGUAUAACUCGUUUGAAGUAUUGGUGCUUAAUAUAACAUUAUCCAGAGAAACAAAUGUUAAUGAUAAAUCCCCUGUGAUGUUUGUACUGGCUACUGUAUACAGGCCACCAGGGCACCAUACAGACUUUAUUAAAGAGUUUGCUGAUUUUACAUCCGAGUUAGUGCUGGCUGCAGAUAAAGUUUUAAUUGUUGGUGAUUUUAAUAUCCAUGUUGAUAAUGAAAAAGAUGCAUUGGGAUCAGCAUUUAUAGACAUUCUGAACUCUAUUGGGGUUAGACAACACGUCUCAGGACCUACUCAUUGUCGAAAUCAUACUCUAGAUUUAAUACUGUCACAUGGAAUUGAUGUUGAUGGUGUUGAAAUUAUGCAGCCAAGCGAUGAUAUCUCAGAUCAUUAUUUAGUUUUGUGCAAACUUCAUAUAGCUAAAACUGUAAAUUCCACUUCUUGUUACAAGUAUGGUAGAACCAUCACUUCUACCACAAAAGACUGCUUUGUAAGUAAUCUUCCUGAUGUAUCCCAAUUCCUUAGCAUAUCCAAAACCUCAGAACAACUUGAUGAUGUAACAGAAACUAUGGACUCUCUCUUUUCUAGCAUUUUAAAUACAGUUGCUCCUUUACGCUUAAGGAAGGUUAAGGAAAACAGUCUGACACCGUGGUGUAAUGAGCACACUCGCACCCUAAAGAGAGCAGCCCGGAAAAUGGAGCGCAGCUGGAGGAAAACAAAACUAGAAGUAUUUCGUAUUGCUUGGAGGGAAAGUAACCUAUCUUACAGAAAAGCAUUAAAAACUGCUAAAUCUGAUUACUUUUCGUCUCUUUUAGAAGAAAACAAACAUAACCCCAGGUAUUUAUUCAAUACAGUGGCUAAAUUAACAAAAAAUAAAGCAUCAACAAGUGUUGACAUUUCCCAACAUCACAGCAGUAAUGACUUUAUGAACUACUUUACUUCUAAAAUCGAUACUAUUAGAGAAAUUUGUAACCAUGCAGCCGUCAGCUACAGUAUCACAUCAGACAGUGCACUAUAG